UAAUUGAAUUUUACUCUUUUACUCCCACUGCACAAAAAAAAAAUUCUCUUACACCCCUGAUUGUGGAAAAAUGCGGGGUCCGUGCAUGGCUCGAUAGUUUGUCAGCCCGAAUUUUCGCGAAUCUUUUAACAAACAUUCGUUUUAACAUAAUGCUAUUAAGUAAAAGAUUUACAUCUAUGUAAAUGUCAAGAUUUAUAUUGUGAAUUAAUGGCGAGUUGAUUAUUAUAUCAAUCCCCAUGUUUGUUUACAUAUCGGAAACAUCCUUAGUACGAAUUAAUUUUUUUUCGUCAGAAACGCCGCCACUGUCCAGCGGGAGAGAAAACUGUCAGUUGACCAUAGCAUCAAAAGUUACUGUGGAUUCUGGUUAUUUUAAAAGUGAAAAUCAUGAAGAACUUUCGUGUAUUAUUUAGGGAUGGAGGACGGGUACCAUGUUUACAUUCGCAACGAACAUAAGCAGACCAGUCUAUUUGUUUUCUGGGGGAUAUGACGAUAGGACCAUAUCUAUAGCUGUGUGAUGGGAGGUGAAUUUCAUCAUGACCUGAUGAUGGAAGAAGUAUAAUUGACAGAGUAUCAUGGAAUCCUUGUAACCAACCUUUUCUUGUUGAUGUGGAUUUUUUAAAUUAAGGAAACUGACUAAAAAAUGACAUGCUGAAGGAUCAAGAAAAUGAUUCCAAUAAAAGAACUAAAAAGCCAUUUCACCAGUUAAAAGUGUGGAUGAUAUUCAGUGUGUUCAAAAAGUUGAAUAUAUAUAUACACAAAAAUGCAUUGAUUAGGAUGCAAAUUUGAUACAGAUUUAAGAAUCAUACAGUGUCAAGAUUCAUCAAUAGUGUGAAACAAUUUAUCAAUAAUAUGGCAACAUGAGACUAAUAUUGGAUUAGACAUCAACUUAUGAGGAAAUCUCAAGAAAAGAGUUGGACAUAAUACCGAAGAUAUGAAUGGAAUACAAAUUGAAAAGAAUCACCAUGACCCAUACUAGAUGCAACUUGCAGUUGAACACUUUCGUGCAGUUUAUAAUAACUGCAUGCUUGAUAAAUUGGAAUGAUAAGUUUUCAGUCCAUACAUAUAACUUAAUUUAAUUUUGGGAAAUUUUAUCGAAGCUGAAUUUAAAAUUGCAUGUGAAUGUUUAUUUUUGUAUGUAGUCAGUACAUAUUAUAUAAUUGUGGAAUCAUCGUGGUUGUGGGGGACCAAUGUUCAUGCCUUUCGUGAGUAACCCUUGCACACAAAUUUACAUCCCCUUGAAUGUAUACACAAGCAAAUAUUUAGUAUUUAUUGAUAAAUAGAACUUGCUACUGAAGAAAUUACCUCCCCAUGAACUAGGAACAGUUUGGUAACCAAUGGACAUUGACCCCCACAAAUAAAAAUGAUUCCACAGUACUACAUGUACAUAGAAAUUAUCAUAAUUAAUUAAGCUUCUAAAAAUGAACAUGUCUGAAAUAUAUUAAUUAUACCCCCGUUCCGAAGGAGAGGGGGUAUACUGUUUUAUGCUUGUGUGUCUGUCUGUCUGUCUGUCCGUCUGUCUGUCUGUCUGUCUGUCCGUCCGUAACAAAAAUUUCUGUCGCAUUUAUCUCAGCAACUAUUUAUCGCAGAUGCUUGAAAUUUUAACACAGUGUUUGUUAAGGCAUGCCAUAUCAUGGGAUUUAUUUUUGUACCAAUCGGACGUCAACUUCAUGUUAAAAAACGACUUUGCUUAUUUUUUAACCAAAAUUUUCAAACAAAUUUUUGUCAAAGAUUUCUCAGCAACUGUUUAUAGCAGAUGCUUAAAAUUUUUAAACAGUAUUUGUAUAGGCAUGCUAUAACGUGGGAUGUAUUUUUGUACCAAUCAGACGUCAACUUCCUGUUUAAUGAGUACUUUGGUUUUUUUUAGCCAAAAUUUUCAAACAUAUUUCCGUCAAAGAUUUCUCAGCAACUAUUUAUCGCAGAUACUUGAAAUUUCAACACACUAUUUGUUUUGGCAUGCCAUAUCGUGGGAUGUAUUUUUGUAUCAAUCGGACGUCAACUUCCUGUUAAAUGACGACUUCGCUUAUUUUUUAACCAAAAUUUUCAAACAAAUUUUCGUCAAAGAUUUCUCAGAAACUGUCCUUAGCAGAUGCUCGAAAUUUUUAAACAGUAUUUGUAUAGGCAUGCUUUAUUGUGGGAUGUAUUUUUGUACCAAUCGGGUGUCAACUUCCUGUUAAAUAACGACUUUGUUUAUUUUUAGCCAAAAUUUUCAAAAAAAAUUUCUUCAAAGAUUUCUCAGCAACUAUUUAUCGCAGAUGCUUGAAAUUUUAACACACUAUUUGUUUUGGCAUGCCAUAUCGUGGGAUAUAUUUUUGUAUCAAUCGGACGUCAACUUCCUGUUAAAUAAUGACUUUGUUUAUUUUUUGCCAAAAUUUUCAAACAAAUUUUCGUCAAAGAUUUCUCAGCAGCUAUUUAUCGCAGAUGCUUGAAAUUUUUACACAGUGUUUGUUAAGGCAUGCCAUAUUGUGGGAUAUAUUUCGGUACCAAUCGGACGUCAUCUUCCUGUUAAAUGAGUACUAUGUUUAUUUUAGCCAAAAUUUUCUAAACAAAUUUUCCUCAAAGAUUUCUCAGCAGCUAUUUAUCGCAGAUGCUUGAAAUUUUAACACACUAUUUGUUUAGGCAUGCCAUAUUGUAGGAUAUAUUUCUGUACCAAUCAGAUGCCAGCUUUCUGUUUAAUGUAGACUUUGCUUAUUUUGCAUAUUCACAUCAGAGCGGGGGUAUCACUAGUGAGCAUUGGCUCACAGAUAUCUUGUUUGAAAUCAUUUAAAUUUUGUUUAAGAAUGAAUUUGUUACAGAGAAUAAAA